rnacentral:rRNA from 1 species
CUCUGGAAUCGAUUAGAGAUAGAUACUGGCUCAGGACUAUCUCUCCGCGGCGUGCUUCACACAUGAAAGUCGAACGGAAAGGCCUCACUUGUGGGGUACUCGAGUGGCGAACGGGUGAGUAACACGUGGGCGAUCUGCCCCAAACUUUGGGAUAAGCCUGGGAAACUGGGUCUAAUACCGGAUAUGACCUUCUCCUGCAUGGGGGUUGGUGGAAAGCUUUUGCGGUUUGGGAUGGGCCCGCGGCCUAUCAGCUUGUUGGUGGGGUAAUGGCCUACCAAGGCGACGACGGGUAGCCGACCUGAGAGGGUGAUCGGCCACACUGGGACUGAGACACGGCCCAGACUCCUACGGGAGGCAGCAGUGGGGAAUAUUGGACAAUGGGCGGGAAGCCUGAUCCAGCAACGCCGCGUGAGGGAUGACGGCCUUCGGGUUGUAAACCUCUUUUCAGUACCUGUGUAUCUAGAGUGACGGUAGGUACAGAAGAAGCACCGGCCAACUACGUGCCAGCAGCCGCGGUAAUACGUAGGUGCGAGCGUUGUCCGGAUUAUUGGGCGUAAAGGGCUCGUAAGCGGUUGGUCGCGUCGGGAGUGAAAACACCGGGCGUAACUCCGUUGCUUGCUUUUCCAUACGGGCAGACUGGAGGCAUGCAGGGGGAAGACCGAAAUUCCUGGGUAGCGGUGGA